rnacentral:rRNA from 1 species
UACAGGGGGGGCAAGCGUUGUUCGGAAUUACUGGGCGUAAAGGGUCUGUAGGUGGCUUGCUAAGUCAGACGUGAAAUCCCUCGGCUUAACCGGGGAACUGCGCCUGAUACUGGAUGGCUGGAGUGUGGGAGAGGGAUGCGGAAUUCCAGGUGUAGCGGUGAAAUGCGUAGAUAUCUGGAGGAACACCGGUGGCGAAGGCGGCAUCCUGGACCAUUACUGACACUGAAAAGCGAAAGCCAGGGGAGCAAACGGG